AUGGCGGCGCCCAGGGAGGACCGGCAGUGUCGCGGCGCUCCGCCGUUCUCGGGUACCGAGAGCGGCCCCUUCACCGGCGCGCACGGCGCCGCGGGCUCCGGGGCGGAGGAGCAGUCCAAGAAGCCUUGCCGAGCCUGCACGGAUUUCAAGAGCUGGUUCCAACAGCAGAGGAAGCGGGCGGCCCCGGGCGGCGGCGGGGACGAGACAGUUGCCGAGGAGAGAGGGCCACCGCCGAACUGUCCCCUCGACAGCGAGCAGCUGGGCCGCAGCACCUGGGCCUUCCUGCACACCAUGGCAGCCUACUACCCCGACCGCCCCACCGGUGCCCAGCAGAAGGAGAUGAGAGAGUUCAUCAACCUUUUCUCCAAGUUUUACCCCUGCGAGCACUGCGCUGAGGAUCUGAGGGAAAGAUUGCGUACAAAUCAGCCUGAUACUAGCAACAGAAAUAACUUCUCCCAGUGGUUGUGUCUUCUUCAUAAUGAAGUGAACAGGAAACUGGGGAAAUCUGAAUUUGACUGCUCUCGUGUGGAUGAACGCUGGCGGGAUGGUUGGAAAGACGGUAGUUGUGAUUAAUCCAUAGAGACUGCUUUGGAAAUCUAACAGACCAAUAUGGCCAUGAGUCACUACAGGGAGAUGUGCGAGUAAAGAACUGCGUGGUUGUGUGCUUGUGUGUGUGACUGGUAUGGCUUGUGGAAAUAAAGGUAAACCAAUUCUAAAAGUAACUUUGAAAAUCUUAGCCUAAUAAUAUUUUGAUAAAUUAUUACAUAAAUAUAUUACCUGAGGGAUUGAGGCCUUACGUUCAACACAGGAAUGGCUAGGAACCUGUGAAAUUAAGCCACUGACAAACUCAUGGAGACUUUUUCAUAAUGACAUUUCAUUAUUUUGGGGGCGUUUCUGUGACUAGAAUUUGUUUUCCCUGAACGCAGUUGUAGAGGGCUGCCCUGUGCCAUUUUACGUUUAUCUGCAGGUAUUACUCUGAUGUUUUAGAAAAUGCAUCUGAUUAAUUGUAAUUUUAAUUUCUGUUGUUCUGAUGGCACAAAACACAGCAUGAGUUUUCUCCAAGUCUGUACUCCUGAAUCUCUCUUUCCGAGAUCUUUCAUGCUUGUUUGUAAAUUUGCAUCCAGUUCCUUUGAUAAAAGGCCUGAAGGCGGGUGCAUUUAAUUCAAACACUAAAGCCAAUAGAGCCCAGAUUUCUCAUUUUAUGUUUGUGUUUCAACUUACCAUGUAAGAGGGCAUCGUAGAAAGAGAAAUUGAAGCAGGACAAAAAAAAACCCCACAUCUGAUGAAUGGAAUGAAGUAUCAGCUGGGUGAAAUUCAAAUGUCUUAAAUUGAUUGCUAAUUUUCUUUGUAUUCAGAAAUGGUGUAAUGGUAAGUUCUACUGAAAUACUUAUUCUUAAAGCCAAUAACCUCUUCGUCUCUGCUGUGAACUUCUGUCUGUUGUGAAAAUAGCUUGAGACUGAUACCUGUAAUGAAGCAUAUUUAGCUUUGUUUAGCAUACGGUAUUUCUGAGAUGUCCCUCUAGUUUUGAAAUCCUUGAUUGGUACUUGCUGACCUGGUCGAUCCCCUGAUCUGGUGUUAUUCCCCAGCUAAAAAUCCCUGUAGAACAAAAGGACUUUGCAAGCCCCCUACAGUAUUUGAGUCCUGCUUAAGACUGCGAUGUCAGGUUUACAUGGUAUUUAUUGCACAGGGGACUCCAAGGAGUCCCUGGGGUAGGUUCCCUCUGUAGAAACUGCUCAGAAUCCAUGCUAUGUAUAUUUUUUCCGAGGUAAAAUAUACCGCAUCAGUAUAUUGAUACAUAAAUGUGCAUUUCAGCUUCAAGUGAAACAGCAGUGUGAUUUACACCACAAUGCAUAUAAACAUGUGUCUCUUUUUAUAAAGAGACAGCUUAUAAAAAAAAAAAAACCGAAGUCAAAAGAAUUUCAGGUUCUUAAAGUAGAUAGUCAUGUCAUGCCCUUAUUGCAUUUCUGGCUGUGAAGAGUUUGCAGGAAUUUGCACAACCCACGACAAUAGUAGGCUUUUUCCUUCUGUACUUCCUGCUGAGGAUUUCUUGUGUGUUUUAGUGAGCUUCCUUAUUUCAUGCACUACCGUACAUUUGUAAAUUUACUCUUGUUGAUAGUGUUACCUGGAACUGUUAGUGAGACUUAUUAUAAAAGUAUUAGAGUGAUGACAGCUCAUAUCUAAGAACUUUGGUUCUUCAAACCUGUGUACUAAACCUUAGUGUUUGGUGAAGCAAUAAGAACUUUGAAAAUACAUUUGAAUGUUUUAUGGUGCAUUCAAGUUCUUUCUAGUUGUUAAAACAGGAGGAGACAAAUUUUAUGGACCUGUUAUUAUUGAAGGGUUUUUUUUUUAAUGUAAUAACGUUUCUAAACACAAACCCAACAAAACCAGUGAUAAGAUACUUCAUGAAGAUAGCAAUCUGACUUGUGACUUGAAAGUAGGAUGCGAAAAUCGCCCUAUUAACAUGUUGAAUUUCUUAGAACAAUUAAAUUCCAGGCCUGGGUUUUUAUCUUUUCAGUAAUAAACUCAGUCCCCAAAAUGAAGCACAUUGAUAUCUGCUAGUGGAGAGAGGACCAACAGAAAGGCUGUAGCCCUGCCCUUUUGUCAGGCCUGACCUGAAUUGUCCAGUUCUGUCAGGGUAGUUUUAGUAGCUGGGGGUGUUGCCAGGCAUUUUCUUCUGGAUUUGGUUGUUCUAGAGGAGGAAUUUACUGUUCUUCCUUUCCAGUCUGCCCUCAGCUAUUCUCUGUGACAAUUUCAUCACCCAUGGAGCAGAUGAUGAGAUUUCUUCCAGCGUAAAUUUGCUUCACUGUAAACAAGCAGGUUGGUAAAACACCUGUCUCAUCCUUUUUUUGUCUUAAUACUGAAAAUGGGCUGGGUUGGUGAGUUCCACGUGCUUGUGCAAGCACACUUGAUCUCUGUGGCCGAGUCCUGGGACCACUGCUCUCUUCUGCUGGCAAGCUGUUGGUGAUGGGCAGGUGCGUGGUAACCUUCCAGCAUACUGCAGUGUCUGUCCCCAUAUUAAGAGUGUAGAGAGGAAAAUAAACAUGGAUCCUGCUCAAAAUCUGGGGGAGCAGUUGUGGUGACACAAAAUUUUUGUCACCUUGUGUUCAAGGAGGUGGUAGAUGUGUGGAGAAGGAAAAGCCCCUUCUGCCAGCAGUGCAGGGGUAGGGAAAGAGCCUUAAAGCUGAAGCCAGCAUCUUUAGCAAAUGCUUCCUAAUAAUGAGGCCACCAGCUGUGGCUGUUAAGAUGUUAUUAGGGCACUUUGUAACUUUGCUAAGUAGCCAUUUGGUAAAAAAAUCUAUGCUUGCACUCUGUUCUCUCAUGUUUCUGGCUUUGCAAAAGAGCUUUGACUUAGGUAUUUCUCAGGCAUAUUGUUAUCUCUGCGGACUUGAGUGUGUGGGGAGGGGGGGAUUUUUUUUUUUUUGCUGCUCAUUUGUACCACAUCUCAAGUUUUAAUCUUAUGUAAGGAAUUUCUAUUGAAGAUACUUGUAUUUGUGUACAGAAAAUUGUGAAUUCUCUUCUAAAUGCACUUGAUUAAAUCUAGUUUUAAAAAUA